AACGAACGCUGGCGGCAUGCCUAACACAUGCAAGUCGAACGAAGCCUUCGGGCUUAGUGGCGCACGGGUGCGUAACGCGGGGGAAUCUGCCCUUGGGUUCGGAAUAACAGUUAGAAAUGACUGCUAAUACCGGAUGAUGUCUUCGGACCAAAGAUUUAUCGCCCAAGGAUGAGCCCGCGUCGGAUUAGCUAGUUGGUGAGGUAAAGGCUCACCAAGGCGACGAUCCGUAGCUGGUCUGAGAGGAUGAUCAGCCACACUGGGACUGAGACACGGCCCAGACUCCUACGGGAGGCAGCAGUGGGGAAUAUUGGACAAUGGGCGAAAGCUUGAUCCAGCAAUGCCGCGUGAGUGAUGAAGGCCUUAGGGUUGUAAAGCUCUUUUACCCGGGAUGAUAAUGACAGUACCGGGAGAAUAAGCCCCGGCUAACUUCGUGCCAGCCGCCGCCGUAAAAC
rnacentral:rRNA from 1 species